GAUGAACGCUAGCUACAGGCUUAACACAUGCAAGUCGAGGGGAAACGACAUCGAAAGCUUGCUUUUGAUGGGCGUCGACCGGCGCACGGGUGAGUAACGCGUAUCCAACCUGCCCACCACUUGGGGGUAACCUUGCGAAAGUAAGACUAAUACCCAAUGAUAUCUCUAGAAGACAUCUGAAAGGGAUUAAAGAUUUAUCGGUGAUGGAUGGGGAUGCGUCUGAUUAGCUUGUUGGCGGGGUAACGGCCCACCAAGGCGACGAUCAGUAGGGGUUCUGAGAGGAAGGUCACCCACAUUGGAACUGAGACACGGUCCAAACUCCUACGGGAGGCAGCAGUGAGGAAUAUUGGUCAAUGGGCGAGAGCCUGAACCAGCCAAGUAGCGUGCAGGAUGACGGCCCUAUGGGUUGUAAACUACUUUUAUAAGGGAAUAAAGUGGGAGUCGUGACUCUUUUUGCAUGUACCUUAUGAAUAAGGACCGGCUAAUUCCGUGCCAGCCGCCGCAGUAA
rnacentral:rRNA from 1 species